UCUUCUCCCAACCGGUUCUUCGAUAUCCCUUUGCCAAACUGGAGCCCUCAAGACCGCAAUCCAAACAAGACUCCUCUGGAGUUACAGGCACAGGAAACACGUGUCCAAAGCGAUGCCAAGAGCGAACAUGGCGUUUUUGUCUCUGCUUGCCUCCCUCACCCAUCUGGUGAUGUCACACGUGUGCUUAGCCCACCAUCAGGGCUUUUAAGGAAGAAAAGAGGUACUGUGUCACGCCUUGCUGCAGUGGGUGAUGCUGCGCUCGGUAAAACAAAACCUGUCUGAACACGCUUUGUGUUUUGCUUUCACAGGAUUUGUGCCUCUGUCUGGAAAAGCAUCUCCUGCACUCUCCUGGCCCGGGCAGCUCCAGAGCCGCGUGUGCAGGCGCAACGGAGAGCGAGGAAAUGUUGCAUCUCGCGCUCAGCAGGCGACAAACCAUCUCACCGCCGUUCCCCCACGUGUGGGUGCCGACCGCCAGGCUUUAAUGGCUUCAGUGAUGCCAUCGGCCUGGGCUGGGCUGUGGGGAGCAGACAGCUCUCCUACACGCAAGGAACAGCCAGCGCAGGACUUGCCAUCUGCAUUCAUGCCUGGAGCCCACCCCAGCGAUGAGACGGAGCGAGGGUCGGGACAGAGGGACACUACCUUCCUGUGAGCCCUGGCAGCCUGGCUUCUGCUGCGCCCUGGAAUAUACGUCAGCCAUCGCCGCCUCUGAAGCCGAACGGGGAGAAGCUCCAAGAAGGCAUUUCACAAGCCCCUUCUGCUCCUUGUGGUGAGGAAGAGGAAGGUGUUGAGUGCAGCACAACUCCAAGCAGCUGGGGCUCAGAAGAGGACGUGUCAGCUGGACUGCAGUGUAGUGUGA